rnacentral:rRNA from 1 species
GACGAACGCUGGCGGCGUGCUUAACACAUGCAAGUCGAACGGAAAGGCCCUGCUUUUGUGGGGUGCUCGAGUGGCGAACGGGUGAGUAACACGUGAGUAACCUGCCCUUGACUUUGGGAUAACUUCAGGAAACUGGGGCUAAUACCGGAUAGGAGCUCCUGCUGCAUGGUGGGGGUUGGAAAGUUUCGGCGGUUGGGGAUGGACUCGCGGCUUAUCAGCUUGUUGGUGGGGUAGUGGCUUACCAAGGCUUUGACGGGUAGCCGGCCGGGGAGGGUGACCGGCCACAUGGGGUCGGGGAGGCGGCCGGAGCGCCUCCGGGGGGAAGGGGGGGGGAAUGUUCGAGAAUGGCCGGGUGCGUGAUGAAGGAUCGCGGGUUGCGGAGUUCCGGCCUUCGGUUUGAAACCCGGUUUGGCUGGAAAGGAAACGUGGUGACGGUAAAUGGGUAAAAAGAGACGGCUAACUUCGUG